UUGCGCGGGGUGUUUCUUCUAACCCUAAUUGUUGAGAGCCUUCUGCACAUCCACAGUUUGCUGUUUUCACCUCCCGCUUUCAGUGAACUACAGGAGGUUGUCGUCCACCGUUGAUGGAAACGUAAUGGUCUAAAAAUACAAAAAAGCGUGGAACAUCACCCCGUCAUGCUCCGUUUUCUCGUCAGAAACACUAGAAACCAGCCGUGGUCAGCUUGGCUGCCGCGAAGAGUUGGUCUCUGCUGCUCUAGUCGUUUCUGCGGGAUUGAUCACCGUGAGCAGAGCAACCUGAGCAGGGUGCAUUCUGGCUGAUCAUCUCCUCGAUCUGUCCAGAUCAGCCCACGCUCAAACAAUC
rnacentral:telomerase_RNA from 10 species